AGAAUGAACGCUGGCGGCAUGCCUAACACAUGCAAGUCGAACGAAGGCUUCGGCCUUAGUGGCGCACGGGUGCGUAACGCGUGGGAAUCUACCCUUAGGUUCGGAAUAACAGUUGGAAACGACUGCUAAUACCGGAUGAUGACGUAAGUCCAAAGAUUUAUCGCCUAGGGAUGAGCCCGCGUAGGAUUAGCUAGUUGGUGUGGUAAAGGCGCACCAAGGCGACGAUCCUUAGCUGGUCUGAGAGGAUGAUCAGCCACACUGGGACUGAGACACGGCCCAGACUCCUACGGGAGGCAGCAGUGGGGAAUAUUGGACAAUGGGCGAAAAGCCUGAUCCAGCAAUGCCGCGUGAGUGAUGAAGGCCUUAGGUUGUAAAGCUCUUUUACCCGGGAUGAUAAUGACAGUACCGGGAGAAUAAGCUCCGGCUAACUCCGCGCCAGCAGCCGC
rnacentral:rRNA from 1 species